rnacentral:lncRNA from 1 species
AUAAAUAAACAAAGGAAUGUUUAUUACAGUCCAUUUACAGUACAUGGCCCAUUAACCCGUAGGCCCAAAUCAGUACCUAAAAUACUACCCCAUAGCCCGUUACAGCAACCCGAUUACACCCGUGACCCAAAGAACCUAAACCCAAUACAUAAAUUAAGUCGGUCCAAACAAAUCAGACCCAAUAAGCUUUGUGGCCCGAUGGUUCAAAUCUGUUUUCAGAUUUGGGAACCCUAGGGUUUUCAACUGCCUUUUUGCGCCGCAGCUCUCAUGAAGCCUCAGCCUUCACCGUCGCCAUCUCCGUGCAUCACGCGCGCGCUCACCACCGGAUCUCUCGGGGUUUACCUGCAAGAAGAGAAAGAAAUGACAGACAUGGCAAGAAAUCGGGGAUAAUUUGCUAUACCAAAUUUGUACACUAAAAUAGAGGCUAUAAAAGCCCUUUUGAAUCUGUAAAACGGACAUACACAUAGACAAAAAAGAAAACUCGCAUAUUCAAGCAAUAAACUUAUAGUUUCGUUUUUUUUAAGGUAUUUUUUAGUUCUUACAUCAUUCUGUUCUCUAUUUCUUGUUUUGACAUAUAUAUUAACCCCUUUUUUAGUUUACGAAUGACGAAAAUAAAAAGAGAUCCUUUACCUUGCUAUUUUUUGCCUGAAAUCGAGAUUUUUGACCACCAACGGCAGCGUGUGGCGGUGUGAGAGGUGGCGCAUGGGCGCGUGUAUACCCGAUGACCGGAGCUUGGCCUGAAGGAGGCCAAAGCCUGGAGGGCCUUUUCUCUCCCCUUUCUUAGAGAAUUUUUUUUAGUUUCUU